rnacentral:rRNA from 1 species
GAUGAACGCUGGCGGCGUGCCUAAUACAUGCAAGUCGAGCGAACAGAUGAGGAGCUUGCUCCUCUGACGUUAGCGGCGGACGGGUGAGUAACACGUGGAUAACCUACCUAUAAGACUGGGAUAACUUCGGGAAACCGGAGCUAAUACCGGAUAAUAUAUUGAACCGCAUGGUUCAAUAGUGAAAGACGGUUUUGCUGUCACUUAUAGAUGGAUCCGCGCCGCAUUAGCUAGUUGGUAAGGUAACGGCUUACCAAGGCGACGAUGCGUAGCCGACCUGAGAGGGUGAUCGGCCACACUGGAACUGAGACACGGUCCAGACUCCUACGGGAGGCAGCAGUAGGGAAUCUUCCGCAAUGGGCGAAAGCCUGACGGAGCAACGCCGCGUGAGUGAUGAAGGUCUUCGGAUCGUAAAACUCUGUUAUUAGGGAAGGACAAAUGUGUAAGUAACUAUGCACGUCUUGACGGUACCUAAUCAGAAAGCCACGGCUAACUACGUG